GAUUGGGGAUGCCCAAUGGAAAGGGCCAUUUUUGGGGCAGAAAAUGGCAUUUUGAUGAGUUGGGAUCAGGGGAUUCCCAAUGUAGAGCGUCUUUUUGGGGCAGAAAACGGCAUUUUGAUGAGUCGGGAUUGGGGGAUUCCCAAUGUAGAGUGUCUUUUUGGGGCAGAAAAUGGAGAUUUGGGGAUUGGGGAUGGAUGGAUGCCCAAUGGAAAGGGCCUUUUUGGGGCAGAAAACGGCAUUUUGAUGAGUUGGGAUUGGGAGAUGCCCAAUGGAAAGGGCCUUUUUGGGGCAGAAAAUGGCAUUUUGAUGAGUCGGGAUUGGGGGAUGCCCAAUGAAGAGGGUCUUUUUGGGGCAGAAAAGGGAGAUUUGGGGAUUGGGGGUUGAUGGAUUCCCAAUGGAAAGG
rnacentral:lncRNA from 1 species